GGCACAAGGCUAGCUAGCUCUGGUCUACUCAUUAUGUUUUGAUCGCUUCGGGGUUUUUUCCUCCCGCCGUCUAGGCAUAGCUUCGUUCUUUUAUGAUUUUAAUCUUUAUCCGGGUGGUCUUGUGUGUGUGCGCGUUCAUGGAUGUAUGCAUUCCAAUUAUACAGAUGUCGGUGAGUAUGUUUGUAUUCUUUUGUUGCUUCAUUAUAAGAUACGAUGACCCCUAAAUUUCCUCCGACAUAUCCUUAUGCACACUGAUGGCGAAAACCGUCAUCCAACACCAUUCGAUAUAUGUGCGUCAGUAAAAUACAAUUUAAAAUUUAAAUUUAGUUUGAUUCAUAGAACGCGUCGGGUUACAUCAUCGGAUCGCAUGCCCCAAUCACAAUAAAAGGAGGCAAUUAUGUUUAGUUUUCACAUGGGUGAAUCCAAAAAAACUUCAAUCCGAUAGUGCCUGGAAUUUUCUGCCUUGCCGUACGCAGGGCCGGCUCUGGCCCUAGGCGAACAUGAGCGACGCCCAAGGGCCCAUGUUUUGCGGGAGCCCAUCACUGCGUAUGUGUAUGUAUACUUCUAUUGUUAUACGGGCUGAAAAAAUGUAUCUGGCCGGAAGAGGAAAAGGGAUCAGAUCGGGAAAGAAAAAGGCAUCGAUCGAUCGUCCAGAUUCCACAACGUGUGCUUGUUCGUUCGUCGCAUUGCCUCGGCCGCGUGCCUGCAUCGCCGCGCGGUUGCGCCUCCGACGGUCCGCCUUGACCCCGUGAGCGGUGCGUGUGCAGUGGAGAUCGCCCAGGCCAUGAAUCCGUGUCCCUGCUCGCCCAUUCGCUCAAGGUAAUCUCAACACUAUAUGUUUGCCUACAUAUUUGCCUAGUGCCCUAGUCCUGUUACAUCAGUUGAUCUGAUUACUAUUUACAAUCUUAGGUGUUACAAUGCCACCGAGACAAAAGUCCGAUGCUGCGAAAAAAAAAGAGAAUCAACUAGUUGAAUCAUAAAAGGGUGAUUUAAAUAGGUUUUUUCCGGUGGUAAAUAGUGUUGGUAAUUAAAGGCAAGAAUCUAAACCGGGACAAGAUGAUGAUCAUAAUUCAAAUGACGAUCUUGAAGUAUUUUUUGUGAAGAACUGAAAUAUUAUUGCCGAUGACCUCAUAAGAACUUAGUUUUUAUUUGAGGUAAUCAAACUAACAGAG
rnacentral:lncRNA from 1 species